rnacentral:siRNA from 1 species
CUACGUCUUGAACGGGCUUGA